UACGUAGGCAGCGAGCGUUGUUCGGAUUUACUGGGCGUAAAGGGUGUGUAGGCGGUUGUUUAAGUUUGGUGUGAAAUCUCCCGGCUCAACUGGGAGGGUGCGCCGAAUACUGAAUGACUAGAGUGUGGGAGAGGAAAGUGGAAUUCCUGGUGUAGCGGUGAAAUGCGUAGAUAUCAGGAGGAACACCGGUGGUGUAGACGGCUUUCUGGACCAUAACUGACGCUGAGACACGAAAGCGUGGGUAGCAAACAGG
rnacentral:rRNA from 1 species